CCUACGGGAGGCAGCAGUGAGGAAUAUUGGUCAAUGGACGAGAGUCUGAACCAGCCAAGUAGCGUGAAGGAUGACUGCCCUAUGGGUUGUAAACUUCUUUUAUAUGGGAAUAAAAUGUUCCACGUGUGGGAGUUUGUAUGUACCAUAUGAAUAAGGAUCGGCUAACUCCGUGCCAGCAGCCGCGGUAAUACGGAGGAUCCGAGCGUUAUCCGGAUUUAUUGGGUUUAAAGGGAGCGUAGGUGGUCUGUUAAGUCAGUUGUGAAAGUUUGCGGCUCAACCGCAAAAUUGCAGUUGAAACUGGCAGUCUAGAGUACAGUAGAGGUAGGCGGAAUUCGUGGUGUAGCGGUGAAAUGCUUAGAUAUCACGCAGAACUCCGAUUGCGAAGGCAGCUCACUGGACUGCAACUGACACUGAGGCACGAAAGUGUGGGUAUCAAACAGGAUUAGAUACCCUUGUAGUC
rnacentral:rRNA from 1 species